AUCAUUUACAUAUACAUAAAAAGUUCUAUCGCUCAGGUAAGAGGAAAACCAUUUUAAAACGGACCCAGCCACACCAAACUCAUUUUUUCCAAUCUAUGUAACAGUAUUUUGUGGUCCACUGUAUCGAAGGCUGAUGAUAAAUCAAAUAAAACCAAUACUGAGUAUCUUCCUGAGUCGGCCGCCAUUUGGACUUCGUUAGAUACUUUGAGGAGAGCAGUCUCUGUAGAGUGCAUCUUUCUAAAGCCAGACUGAUACUUAUCCAGGAGGCCAUUGUUACUUAGAAAAGCUGUCAGCUGCUCAGCUACUACUUUCUCCAAGACUUUUGAAAGAAAAGGCAGUUUAGAUAUUGGCCUAUAAUUGCAAUGUUCCGCUGGAUCCAAAUUGGGCUUUUUUAAAAUGGGGCACUGCCUGUUUAUAAAAAUUUGGGACGAUCCCAGUGGAAAGUGAAAUGUUAAUAAUUUUGACAACAAUGGGACCAACAAGAUCUAUUACUUUAACAAACAUGGAUGUUGGUAAUAUGUCCAAUGGGCAAGAGGAUGGCUUCAUCUUUUUAAGUAAGAUCAUGACAUCAUCUAAUGAGACGACAGAAAAGUUAGCCCAGGAGCAAUUUGGGGUAGCUACCACAAUUGGGCUCUUAUCAGAUGCUUUUACACUAGAUUUGAUUUCAUUCACCUUAUUUACGAAAUAUUUUAGGAAAUUGUUGCAGUCCUCAAUGGUGAAAACAGGCACCAAUGGAAUGGAGGGUGAAACAAUAUUCUGAAUAGUAUCAAAGACAACUUUAGGGUUUCUUUUAUUCUGGUUUACAAGAUUAAAAAAAUACUUAGAUCUGGCCUGCUUCAUCAUUUCGUUUAGCGAAACAAUAAGCUCCUUUAAAUGUAGUCUGUGCACUUCCAAGUUAGUGGAUUUCCACAAACGCUCUACCUUACGGCAUAUUCUCCUAGAGGAAGCAAUUUCCUCAUUUAACCAGGGACAAGGAUUUUUAGGAGAAGUUGUUUUGUGCUUUACUGGGGCCACUAUGUCCAGAGCAGAAAGGCAAUGGUCAUUGAAGUGAUUAACAAGGGGUUCUGCAUCACUAUAAUCCUCAAAGAAUUUGGGCUGAAAGAAAUCUGAAAAAUUUUCAAUAACUUUUUGAUUUAUAAUACGCCUUUUGGACACCACUGUAUGAGCAUCACUGACCAUAUUACAAGACACAUUAAAGUAUAUACAGCAAUGGUCAGUCACAUGAAUAUCCACAACAUUCAGGCAGUUUAUGUCUAGGCCAAAGGAGAAAACAAGAUCUAAGGUGUGGCCUUUUUUAUGUGUAGGGCCAGAAACAUGUUGCUUUAAAUUAAAAGAGUCUGUAAGUGUUAAAAACUCAGACGCUGCAUUACAAAAGGGAUCGUCAAUGUGGAAAUUAAAAUCACCAAUAAUUAAAACUUUAUCUAGUUUAAUAAUCGUAGAUAAAAAAAUCUGAAAACUCGUCUAAGAACUUUCGUGCAGGACCAGGAGGUCGGUAAAUUAGAAUACAAUAAAAGAAGUCAGUAUUUCCAACCUUUGUCAUUUGAAGCUCAAAUGAGUUGAAAGGCUCCGAUUUCGUAAGCCUACAGCGAAAGCAGUUUCUGUGGAUGAGUGCGAGGCCGCCUCCUCGCCGCGCAACAGGUGGAUUUCCAAGUACGAGCAAUCCGGAGGACACAGUUCAUCAUAAAUGAUAGUAUUCCUGUUCCCGCUGCCACGUCUCAGUGAGGGCCAUGAAAUCAAGAUUUCCGUUUGUGAACAAGUCUCCCAGAUAAAGUGCCUUGUUUGAUAUAGAGCGGGCAUUCAAUAAAGCAAACCGCGUUUGCCGCGCGCAAUGGACAGGAAGUGUGCGCUGACCAGCGGGACACCUCGGCAUAGCCAGAGCAUUAUGGAUGCGGAGCGAGGAACCGGCCCAGCCGGGUUGGAAAGAUCCGAUCAGAGAGACGUGGAGAGGCUGAGGCCGGUGGCGCACAGUUCGACUCCCAUGUCCGGUCACUGACUGGAACGAGACGAAGGCACCGCUCGGCUCCGACAGAUCUGGACCCGUCGAACCAUGAUGUUUGACCUCCUUGUUUUCUCUGCCUGGACUGUACACCCGACCGCGAUCCCCUCUUCCUUCUCCUGCCGCGGCGUUUCACUAGCAGCAGGUACUCCGGUGUUGACGUGGCGCAUUCAAAAAGUGGAGGGAAAUAAUCCUUAUACCUGUCCCAGAUUUCUGCAACACUCCAAACAUGGAUGACAAGAGUGAAGGACAACGUUAUGGCUCAUCAAUUUUAAGUUUACCUGUGCCUGCAGUGCAACCCUCUCUGGUCCCGGAUGUCUACAGGUUUCGGACUCAUGCCUCAAGGUUUCUGCGCUUGCAUCUCUCCUCUGGAUUUGUUGAUCUUUCCUGGACUCAUUCUGGUUACCAAUCUUUUCACCUGGCCUUUGACUAUGUUCAUCUGUCAGUCAUGUACAGAGCCCAGUUUUGUUCAGUAAAUGUUCUGAACUGCCUUUGCUGUUUAUUUUUUAUUUAUUAAACAUUUUAUAUUUGCUGUCACAUAUUACAUGCUGUUAUAAAUGCUGUAUAAUAUGCUGUCACAUAAAUUACAUGCUAUUAUAAUAUUAUACCUUUU